rnacentral:rRNA from 1 species
GAUGAACGCUGGCGGCGUGCCUAAUACAUGCAAGUCGAGCGAACAGAUGAGGAGCUUGCUCCUCUGACGUUAGCGGCGGACGGGUGAGUAACACGUGGAUAACCUACCUAUAAGACUGGGAUAACUUCGGGAAACCGGAGCUAAUACCGGAUAAUAUAUUGAACCGCAUGGUUCAAUAGUGAAAGACGGUUUUGCUGUCACUUAUAGAUGGAUCCGCGCCGCAUUAGCUAGUUGGUAAGGUAACGGCUUACCAAGGCAACGAUGCGUAGCCGACCUGAGAGGGUGAUCGGCCACACUGGAACUGAGACACGGUCCAGACUCCUACGGGAGGCAGCAGUAGGGAAUCUUCCGCAAUGGGCGAAAGCAUGACGGAGCAACGCCGCGUGAGUGAUGAAGCGCUUCGGAUCGUAAAACUCUGUUAUUAGGGAAGAACAAAUGUGUAAGUAACUAUGCACGUCUUGACGGUACCUAAUCAGAAAGCCACGGCUAACUACGUG